rnacentral:rRNA from 1 species
GAUGAACGCUGGCGGCGUGCCUAAUACAUGCAAGUCGAGCGAACGGACGAGAAGCGUGCUUCUCUGAUGUUAGCGGCGGACGGGUGAUUAACACGUGGAUAACCUACCUAUAGGGCUGGGAUAACUUCGGGAAACCGGAUCUAAUACCCGAUAAUAUUGUGAACCGCAUGGUUCAAAAGUGAAAGACGGUCUUGCUGUCACUUAUAGAUGGAUCCGCGCUGCAUUAGCUAGUUGGUAAGGUAACGGCUUACCAAGGCAACGAUGCAUAGCCGACCUGAGAGGGCGACCGGCCACACUGGAACUGAGACACGGUCCAGACUCCUACGGGAGGCAGCAGUAGGGAAUUUUCGGCAAUGGGCGAAAGCCUGACGGAGCAACGCCGCGUGCGUGAUGAAGGUCUUCGGAUCGUAAACCGCUGUUAUUCGGGAAGAAAAUAUGUGUACGUAAAUGUGCACAUCUUGACGGUACCUAAUCAGGAAGCAACGGCUAACUACGUG